UACGUAGGGCGCGAGCGUUAAUCGGAAUUACUGGGCGUAAAGCGUGCGCAGGCGGUUCUCCAAGUCCGCUGUGAAAGCCCCGGGCUCAACCUGGGAAUGGCAGUGGAAACUAGGGGACUGGAAUCUGGCAGAGGGGGGUGGAAUGCCGCGUGUAGCAGUGAAAUGCGUAGAGAUGCGGCGGAACACCGAUGGCGAAGGCAGCCCCCUGGGCUAACACUGACGCUCAUGCGCGAAAGCGUGGGGAGCAAACAGG
rnacentral:rRNA from 1 species